UACGAAGGGGGCUAGCGUUGUUCGGAAUUACUGGGCGUAAAGCGCACGUAGGCGGACAUUUAAGUCAGGGGUGAAAUCCCAGAGCUCAACUCUGGAACUGCCUUUGAUACUGGGUGUCUUGAGUAUGGAAGAGGUGAGUGGAAUUCCGAGUGUAGAGGUGAAAUUCGUAGAUAUUCGGAGGAACACCAGUGGCGAAGGCGGCUCACUGGCCCGGUACUGACGCUGAGGCGCGAAAGCGUGGGGAGCAACAGG
rnacentral:rRNA from 1 species